GGCUGGGGCUCAGUGAUAGAGUGCCUGCCUUGUACGUGUGAGGCACUGGGUUCAAUCCUCAGCGCCA
rnacentral:tRNA from 1 species